rnacentral:rRNA from 1 species
UACGGAGGGUGCAAACGUUGCUCGGAAUUAUUGGGCGUAAAGCGCACGUAGGCGGCCGAAUAAGUCGGGUGUGAAAGCCCUGGGCUCAACCCAGGAAGUGCACUCGAAACUGCUCGGCUUGAAUAUGGAAGAGGGUCGCGGAAUUCCCGGUGUAGAGGUGAAAUUCGUAGAUAUUGGGAAGAACACCAGUGGCGAAGGCGGCUCACUGGCCCGCAACUGACGCUGAGGCGCGAAAGCGUGGGGAGCAAACAGG